GACGUAGGGCGCGAGCGUUGUCCGGAUUUAUUGGGCGUAAAGAGCUCGUAGGCGGCUUGUUGCGUCGACCGUGAAAACCCGGGGCUCAACUUCGGGCUUGCGGUCGAUACGGGCGGGCUAGAGUUCGGUAGGGGAGACUGGAAUUCCUGGUGUAGCGGUGAAAUGCGCAGAUAUCAGGAGGUACACCGGUGGCGAAGGCGGGUCUCUGGGCCGAUACUGACGCUGAGGAGCGAAAGCGUGGGGAGCGAACAGG
rnacentral:rRNA from 1 species